rnacentral:rRNA from 1 species
UGGCCUACGGGAGGCAGCAGUGAGGAAUAUUGGUCAAUGGCCGCAGGGCUGAACCAGCCAAGUCGCGUGAGGGAUGACGGUCCUAUGGAUUGUAAACCUCUUUUGUCAGGGAGCAAAGGGCGCCACGUGUGGCGUUUUGCGAGUACCUGAAGAAAAAGCAUCGGCUAACUCCGUGCCAGCAGCCGCGGUAAUACGGAGGAUGCGAGCGUUAUCCGGAUUUAUUGGGUGUAAAGGGCGUGUAGGCGGGGAUGCAAGUCAGAUGUGAAAACUAUGGGCUCAAACCAUAGCCUGCAUUUGAAACUGUA